GCAUGUGGUGACAUGUUCGUUCAUGUCAUCAAAGCCGCAAGGCGCUUCGGGAGGGGCCUGCGUCCGAUUAGCUCGUUGGUGGGGUAACGGCUCACCAAGGCGACGAUCGGUAGGUGGUCUGAGAGGACGAUCACCCAGACUGGGACUGAGACACGGCCCAGACUCCUACGGGAGGCAGCAGUCGGGAAUUUUGCUCAAUGGGCGAAAGCCUGAAGCAGCAACGCCGCGUGAGGGAUGACGGCCUUCGGGUUGUAAACCUCUUUUCUCAGGGACGAUAAUGACGGUACCUGAGGAAUAAGCCACGGCUAACUACGUGCCAACAGCCGCGGUAAUACGUAUGUGGCAAGCGUUGUCCGGAUUUUACUGGGCGUAAAGAGCGCGCAAGCGGUCGAGCAAAGUUU
rnacentral:rRNA from 1 species